CCAUAAUCACAGCGGGCGAGAGCGGAGACGGGGAGCGAAAAAUCCGGGAUCCGGCAACUUUGGGGCGCGCAUGCGCGCCCGCCGCGCUCCAUCCCAAACACACACACAUUUUUCCCCCGGACUUGGAAAGUCACCCAAAGCCGCCCCAAGUGCAGGACCGACAGACUCCACUGAUUGAAGGCAAAGAUCUCUUCCCCUCCGGUCUCCGUCUCUGCUUAUAGUCAUCGGCCCCUCCUUGCCAAGGGGAAGGUGAAAAACCCCAGCAGGUUGGAAUGGACUUCAGACCCUGGGCCUUCUGGAUGCAAGCCAUACACCCAGGCCACUAAGCCCUCGUGCCCUCGGCAGAUCUCCCGCCAUAGCUGAGGGUGCCCGGCAGCAGCAGCAAGGAUCCAAGCAGAGGAAUCUGGAGUCCUUGGGCUGAUUCAGAAAACAAAUUCCCCUCUCCUGGCCGCUGCCCACCUUGCCGUGACAGCCCCCCGGAUCCCUUCCCGCCAGGAAAGUUUGAAACAAAGCAAAGCAACUUUGGGGAGUGUCCUGGCCCAGCGCAGAGCACUGCUAAUCAGGCUAGCAGGCGUCAGGAGCAGAGGGAGGCGGCCGAGGCAGCCCCCAUGCCUGACUCCAACGGUCCCCCCCAUCCCCUCCGCGCGAGCCCCAUCCUCGCCCGCCUUUGCAGGCGCCUCUUUCGUCAGCUCAGAAUGCAGCUUGGGGCCCAUGGCGGUUCAACCUUUCCCUCUCCCAGAGCCCCGGUCUAAUCAACCCCUAUAAUUUAUGCAGAAAAUAUGAUUUAUAUUUAAUUUCACCACACUUGCAUUGUUAAUUUGAGAUGUAAUUAACCCGUCGCCAUGACAACUAAUUUUGUGAUGCCGUAAAUUACCGCCGUCUUUUCAUCAAAAUUCAGUUACUUUGGCUCCUG
rnacentral:lncRNA from 1 species